AAAGCCAUUAACGCCUGUGUGCUAUUCCUUCAGUUCUCGCAUUAGGUCCACACACACACACACACACACACACACACACACACACACACACACACACACACACACACACACACACACACACACACACACACACACACACACACACACGGAGGACGGACAUUAAAAUGUGCCAUUUGGGGGAACGGAGCUGCUAUCUUCUCUCUGUUUUAAUUAUUGUCAUUACAGGAUAUAGUGCAGACAAGCGCUUGGGUUGUUUUCUCCCACUUUCCAUCUCUCACCCAGGACUCGCUCGGUGCUCGGCGGAGCCCGUCUGAGACGCUGAAUCAACCAUUGCAUGCAGCUCGGUUGUGCCCGCUGUGGCAGAUCAGCAGCACCAGCUUAUCACAGCCAGACUCUAUCUGCUUCCUAAAUGAAGUGGGUUGAUGAGCGAGUCGCAGAUAAACCUGCAAUCUGCGCAUACAAACAAACUGGCAACUUCAUCCACCGCCUCAGCCAGAUUCAACAGCAAUACAAGAAGAAGAAGAAGAAGAAGAAGCCAGCGUGACAUCAUCCCUCAUUCCCAGCUGAUGCCUCAUGUUUGUGAGGAUUUAGACGAGUGUAAUAAAGGCAAGAGGCUUCAUACGAGUCAAAUCAGCAGUGAUGUUCGGCUGAAGAUGGAAGACGCGCGCUGCUGACCAGACGACUCGAUGAUGGAGAAUCACUGCGUUAAGAUUCCUGAAAUGACUCAAGGAGGUACUGGUCCAAGGACGGGUCCGUUUCCUGACACUGACUGCAGUACAGCAGGAACCAAUGUGAAAGCUGAUAUAAUAUUAAUAAUAAUAAACACGGGCAGAGUUUGAGAAGCA
rnacentral:lncRNA from 1 species